rnacentral:rRNA from 1 species
CCUACGGGGCGCAGCAGUAGGGAAUAUUGCUCAAUGGGGGAAACCCUGAAGCAGCAACGCCGCGUGGAGGAUGAAGGUUUUCGGAUUGUAAACUCCUUUUGUUAGAGAAGAUAAUGACGGUAUCUAACGAAUAAGCACCGGCUAACUCCGUGCCAGCAGCCGCGGUAAUACGGAGGGUGCAAGCGUUACUCGGAAUCACUGGGCGUAAAGAGCGCGUAGGCGGGAUAGCAAGUCAGUCGUGAAAUACCGAAGCUUAACUUCGGGGCUGCGAUUGAAACUGACAGCCUUGAGUAUCGGAGAGGAAA